AGCUCCAAGAAUACGCGGAGGAGGUGGCCCUGGUAGGCGUCGGCGCCGUCCGACGCGGGCCACGGGCCCGCUUCCAAGUGCGUCUGCGCGCCGGCCACCCACGCCGGGUCCUUCAAGUGCCGCUUCCACCGCACCAACUCCCAGGGCCACGGUCAUGGCCAGGGCCAGGGAAGCCGCCCUUUUUCGCCCCCUUCACCGGCCGCGGCCAACGCGGUGCCGCGGCACCCGGCCUCGCCGUCCUCGGUGAUGCAGCCCAAGCAUCAGCCUCGAGAAUUAAGAAUGCUCGACAACGGAAAGGGAAGGGAAUACCAUAUACAUGUCAUAAGAAAGGGAGUUUAUUUGCUGCUCCCUCGAUGUAUUGUUUCCUUUGUUUGGAGAUUGAUUACCAUCCGUGAGUGA
rnacentral:rRNA from 1 species